rnacentral:rRNA from 1 species
GACGAACGCUGGCGGCGUGCCUAAUACAUGCAAGUAGAACGCUGAAGAGAGGAGCUUGCUCUUCUUGGAUGAGUUGCGAACGGGUGAGUAACGCGUAGGUAACCUGCCUUGUAGCGGGGGAUAACUAUUGGAAACGAUAGCUAAUACCGCAUAACAAUGGAUGACACAUGUCAUUUAUUUGAAAGGGGCAAUUGCUCCACUACAAGAUGGACCUGCGUUGUAUUAGCUAGUAGGUGAGGUAAUGGCUCACCUAGGCGACGAUACAUAGCCGACCUGAGAGGGUGAUCGGCCACACUGGGACUGAGACACGGCCCAGACUCCUACGGGAGGCAGCAGUAGGGAAUCUUCGGCAAUGGGGGCAACCCUGACCGAGCAACGCCGCGUGAGUGAAGAAGGUUGUCGGAUCGUAAAGCUCUGUUGUAAGUCAAGAACGGGUGUGAGAGUGGAAAGUUCACACUGUGACGGUAGCUUAACAGAAAGGGACGGCUAACUACGUG